rnacentral:misc_RNA from 1 species
GUACUCUCACACUCUAAUGAAUUUUGGAGAAGUGGACUUGGGUGUUGCUGCUUUGCUGUGGCUCAUCUUAAAUAUGCUAGUGCAACUCAUGGUUGGAUAUAGUACAGCGUGAUAAGUAUCCUCGCUGGCGCCUCAUGAAGAGGGUGUCCGAUUGGGAGCUCUGUGCUUCAAACUGUCCUGUCUGGGACAAUCUCUGACA